CUUCUGCUCUAUCAAGCGCUGGGAUUAAAGGUGUAUCUUUCACCACUAUCACCCAGCUGACUGUAUUUUUAAUUCAUCCAUUUGUUGAUGGGUGUACCAAUGAAUGAGUGUGUCGGUGUCUUGGCAGAUGUGGAUGAUGGUAAAAUGAGCAUGCUUUAGUAACCAAUAAUAAUACACCCUUUCAGAAAUAGUAUUUCCCUUGACUAGACUUUACCCUGGACAGAAUUUCUCAUGGAACUCUAAGACUGACCCGAUGCUGAGUUCUACUGUGGUUUUGGAUCUCAGUUAUUCCUGUAAAGCCCUCAUGGAGGAUAGUGUAACAAAUUGUACUAGUCAGAGGGGAUGCAAGAGCUCCCUGUUUUGGGGUUUUUUUUUCUUUGUUUGUGUGUGUGUGUGUGUGUGUGUGUGUGUGUGUGUUUAACUAUUUAUGAUUUUUUUUGAGGUUUAAUUCUAGAUGUAAUCCAAUGUACCUUCUCAGAUUUCAGACCCUCUUUAACUACCUGCCUGGCCUUCUAAGUCUUAAAGGAAAACAACUUCAACUCUGUUCUAAGUCUCUUAUCACCAACCCACCACGUAUAUUUUUCAAUGAGCUUGCUUCAGGGGUGCUCUUUCCAGGUCUCAAUGAGUAACAAAGUAGAUGUAAGAGAGCAUGACAAUAUUUUCUGUGAGUUUCAAGGAAAAUGGAAAGUAGCAAGCUUGGCUUUAGCUUUCCCAAGAUGGGUCCUCAUCAUUGUACCAGGCUUUCAUGUUGAAGAACACUGAGUGCUUCCCCAAUGCCACACACUCUGCAGCUACCUGAUCAGCUGAUUUAAUCUGCAUCUGUUCUUGUGCCAAUUUCUCCCUUUUAUUUCUCUCUAUAUAUGGCUGUGUCUGUCUGUAUUUCUGUCUGUCUGUCUGUCUCUUUCUCUCUCUCUCUCUCUCUUACUUCUCCCCUCUGCCCUAGCCUUGGGUCUUAUUGGCAAUUCCUCUCUCCCUUUGUUCUGAUAACUGGGGUCUCUGAUUCCUUCCAAGUCUUUCUGUGUACAACAUUACACUUCAGUAUAUUUCCCCAUUUCUUCUCAACAAGAAGCUAUCUUGACAAGAACAGCUGUCCAUUUGCAUUGCCAACCAUGAAAAGCUGGGUACCACUACCCAAAUUAAGUCCUGUCUUGAUUCCCACUCCAAGGUCAUUUUUCCACUAAGAUCCAGGUAUUUUUGGCUUUCAAAGUUUGGGUAUUUUUGCUUAUGCAAUUUAUGAGCUGAUGAAUGAGGAUAAUACUUUCCUUUAUAAGAAUAGACCCAGUAUAUAAAUCGUCUGCAAAUGUCUUUUGGUUUUUGUUCCCUUAGCUUCCUCAUCAAUAUGUAAAUAUAUUGUUAAUUCCUUGUUUCUUGUGUGUGGGUUGAUGUUUCUUUUCUUUUAAGCUUCUAUGACUCUCUAGUCAUCUCUGAUAAUGAAAAGUGGCUGCUCUCACCAUAUUUUAAACUCAUGAACUCCCAUGGAUCUUUCUGCUCUAAUGGUAUUGUUCAGAGAAGGUCAGGAUAUGGUUAUGGGAAUAGUCAGCAUAAACCACCAGAGACACACUAUGGAGGCACGAGGCAAAUGGAGCAUAUGUUGAAUGUCAGUUACAUGGUUCUAUUAUGUAUUAGUGAUAUUUUGGUAUGAACAUGACCCUGGCUUUUGUUGUGUGAUCUUCCAGGACUUAGGAAACCAGCAUUUUAUUUUUCUGCUCUUCAGAGUAGUGCUUGCAAGGUAUGGUGCUGGUCUUCACAUCUUCAUGUGAAUGUAAUAUAACUGGAAAGGGACAACUGAUGAGCAAUGGAAUUG
rnacentral:lncRNA from 1 species